CGAGCCGGGCGGACGGCCGCGGGAAGCCUUCCGGGGCUUUCCGAGGAACGUCCGGGCUCCACAGGGCAGGGUGGUGGCUAACAGCCACCCGGGGUGACCCGCGGGACAGUGCCACAGAAAGCAGACCGCCGGGGGCUUCGGCUCCCGGUAAGGGUGAAACGGUGGUGUAAGAGACCACCAGUGCCCAGGGUGACCUGGGCAGCUAGGUAAACCCCACCCGGAGCAAGGUCAAGAGGAGACACUCCGGUGUCUCUGCGCGGACGCUUGAGGGCUGCCCGUCCGAUGUCCGCGGGUGGACUGCACGAGGCCGGCGGCAACGUCGGUCCCAGAUGGAUGGCCGUCGCCCCGGGCUCCGCGAGGAACCCGGGGAACAGAACCCGGCGUACAGCCCGACUCGUCUG
rnacentral:RNase_P_RNA from 3 species